rnacentral:rRNA from 1 species
GGGACAACAUUUGGAAACGAAUGCUAAUACCGCAUAAGACCACAGUGUCGCAUGGCACAGGGGUCAAAGGAUUUAUCCGCUGAAAGAUGGGCUCGCGUCCGAUUAGCUAGAUGGUGAGGUAACGGCCCACCAUGGCGACGAUCGGUAGCCGGACUGAGAGGUUGAACGGCCACAUUGGGACUGAGACACGGCCCAGACUCCUACGGGAGGCAGCAUG